GACGAACGUUGGCGGCGUGCUUAAUACAUGCAAGUCAACUGAAGCAGUGGUAGCAAUAUCGCUGUGGAGGUGGCGCACGGGUGAGUAACACGUAGGUAAUCUGCCUUCAGGUCUGGCAUAACUCCGGGAAACCGGGGCUAAUAGCAGAUGAUGCAGCGGCUCGACAUCGAGACAGUUGUUAAAGCUAUGGCGCCUGAAGAUGAGCCUGCGUCUGAUUAGCUAGUUGGCGGGGUAACGGCCCACCAAGGCAACGAUCAGUAGCUGGUCUGAGAGGAUGAUCAGGCACACUGGAACUGAGACACGGUCCAGACUCCUGCGGGAGGCAGCAGUAAGGAAUAUUGCUCAAUGGGAGAAAUACUGAAGCAGCAACGCCGCGUGAGGGACGAAGGGCUUUUGCUUGUAAACCUCUGUAGUGAGAGAAAAAAAUCCCAAUCUUUGGGACAUGAUGGUAUCUCAAAAGUAAGCCCCGGCUAACUACGUG
rnacentral:rRNA from 1 species